GCCAGACUUUUCAUUGUCUGAUCAGUGGGAUGUAGUGACCCUGAACAAAAAUAAAGAGGAAGAAAAAUACAUUUUUGACGCCGUUCUGGUCUGUUCAGGACACUAUACUCAUCCAGCAGUUGCCCUGUCUGACAUUCAAGGACCUGAAACAUUCUGUGGCAGAGUUCUUCAUAGCUGGGAAUAUAAUGAUGCAGAUUGCUUCAAGGGGAAAAGGGUGGUCGUUGUUGGCAUUGGUAACUCUGGAGGAGAUGUUACAGUCAAGAUUAACAGAUCUGCAGAGAAGACAUUUUUCAGUAUACGGGAGAGGGCCUGGGUGAUUAGCAGAUUGGGGCGUAAUGGCCUUCCUGUGGAUAUGGUACUAAUGUCCAGGUUCAACAACCUCCUACUACAGCUGCUCCAGAAGACAUUUAUCAACUGGGCAGUAGAGAGAACA